GAUGAACGCUGGCGGCGUGCCUAAUACAUGCAAGUCGAGCGAACGGACGAGAAGCUUGCUUCUCUGAUGUUAGCGGCGGACGGGUGAGUAACACGUGGAUAACCUACCUAUAAGACUGGGAUAACUUCGGGAAACCGGAGCUAAUACCGGAUAAUAUUUUGAACCGCAUGGUUCAAAAGUGAAAGACGGUCUUGCUGUCACUUAUAGAUGGAUCCGCGCUGCAUUAGCUAGUUGGUAAGGUAACGGCUUACCAAGGCAACGAUGCAUAGCCGACCUGAGAGGGUGAUGGCCACACUGGAACUGAGACACGGUCCAGACUCCUACGGGAGGCAGCAGUAGGGAAUCUUCCGCAAUGGGCGAAAGCCUGACGGAGCAACGCCGCGUGAGUGAUGAAGGUCUUCGGAUCGUAAAACUCUGUUAUUAGGGAAGAACAUAUGUGUAAGUAACUGUGCACAUCUUGACGGUACCUAAUCAGAAAGCCACGGCUAACUACGUG
rnacentral:rRNA from 1 species